CCUACGGGGGGCAGCAGUGAGGAAUAUUGGUCAAUGGGCGCGAGCCUGAACCAGCCAAGUCGCGUGAGGGAAGACGGUCCUAUGGAUUGUAAACCUCUUUUGUCGGGGAGCAAAAGACGCCACGCGUGGCGUUCCGAGAGUACCCGAAGAAAAAGCAUCGGCUAACUCCGUGCCAGCAGCCGCGGUAAUACGGAGGAUGCGAGCGUUAUCCGGAUUUAUUGGGUUUAAAGGGUGCGCAGGCGGAAGAUCAAGCCAGCGGUAAAAUUGGGGGGCUCAACCUCUUCGAGCCGUUGAAACUGGUGUUCUUGAGUGAGUGAGAGGUAUGCGGAAUGCGUGGUGUAGCGGUGAAAUGCAUAGAUAUCACGCAGAACUCCGAUUGCGAAGGCAGCAUACCGGCGCGCAACUGACGCUCAUGCACGAAAGUGUGGGUAUCGAACAGGAUUAGAUACCCGUGUAGUC
rnacentral:rRNA from 1 species